CGAGCCGGGCGGACGGCCGCGUGAGGUCCCGACAGGGGGCUCCCGAGGAACGUCCGGGCUCCACAGGGCAGGGUGGUGGCUAACGGCCACCCGGGGUGACCCGCGGGACAGUGCCACAGAAAGCAGACCGCCGGGGGCCUCGGUCCUCGGUAAGGGUGAAACGGUGGUGUAAGAGACCACCAGCGCCUGAGGUGACUCAGGCGGCUAGGUAAACCCCACCCGGAGCAAGGUCAAGAGGGACCGCCGCAAGGUGGUCCUGCGCGGACGCAUGAGGGCUGCCCGCCCGAGUCCGCGGGUAGACCGCACGAGGCCGGUGGCAACGCCGGUCCUAGAUGGAUGGCCGUCGCCCCGACGACCGCGAGGUCCCGGGUGCACAGAACCCGGCGUACAGCCCGACUCGUCUG
rnacentral:RNase_P_RNA from 1 species